AUUGAACGCUGGCGGCAUGCCUUACACAUGCAAGUCGAACGGUAACAGGUCUUCGGAUGCUGACGAGUGGCGAACGGGUGAGUAAUGCAUCGGAACGUGCCCAGUAGUGGGGGAUAGCCCGGCGAAAGCCGGAUUAAUACCGCAUACGACCUGAGGGUGAAAGGGGGGGAUCGCAAGACCUCUCGCUAUUGGAGCGGCCGAUGUCAGAUUAGCUAGUUGGUGGGGUAAAGGCGUACCAAGGCAACGAUCUGUAGUUGGUCUGAGAGGACGACCAGCCACACGUGGACUGCGACACGGCCCAGACUCCUACGGGAGGCAGCAGGGGGGAAUUUUGGACAAUGGGCGCAAGCCUGAUCCAGCAAUGCCGCGUGCAGGAAGAAGGCCUUCGGGUUGUAAACUGCUUUUGUCAGGGAAGAAAUCUUCUGGGUUAAUACCUCGGGGGGAUGACGGUACCUGAAGAAUAAGCACCGGCUAACUACGUGCCAGCAGCCGCGGUAAUAC
rnacentral:rRNA from 1 species